UCUUAAAGAAGUUUCAGUGAUUUUGAAAGUGAUACUCGGUCAUUAUCGAUUUUUUUUGAAUUUUUUUUUUGCUUAGGGCCGAUAAGGGUAGCUUAGGGGUUGUUCCGGAGGUCGUGGGGCUUUUAUAAUUUUUUUCUAGUUGUGUGAAGGCGUCUUGAAGAAUUUUCAGUGAUUUUGAAAGUGAUACUCGGUCAUUUUCAAUUUUUCUUGAAUUUUUUUUUUUUCUAAGGCCGAUAAGGGUAGCUUAGGGGUUGUUCCGGAGGUCGUGGGGCUUUUAUAAUUUUUUUCUAGUUGUGUGAAGGCGUCUUGAAGAAUUUUCAGUGAUUU